GAUGAACGCUGGCGGCGUGCCUAAUACAUGCAAGUCGAGCGAACGGACGAGAAGCUUGCUUUUCUGAUGUUAGCGGCGGACGGGUGAGUAACACGUGGAUAACCUACCUAUAAGACUGGGAUAACUUCGGGAAACCGGAGCUAAUACCGGAUAAUAUUUUGAACCGCAUGGUUCAAUAGUGAAAGACGGUCUUGCUGUCACUUAUAGAUGGAUCCGCGCUUCAUUAGCUAGUUGGUAAGGUAACGGCUUACCAAGGCAACGAUGCAUAGCCGACCUGAGAGGGUGAUAGGCCACACUGGAACUGAGACACGGUCCAGACUCCUACGGGAGGCAGCAGUAGGGAAUCUUCCGCAAUGGGCGAAAGCCUGACGGAGCAACGCCGCGUGAGGGAUGAAGGUCUUCGGAUCGUAAAACUCUGUUAUUAGGGAAGAACAUAUGUGUAAGUAACUGUGCACAUCUUGACGGUACCUAAUCAGAAAGCCACGGCUAACUACGUG
rnacentral:rRNA from 1 species